ACGAACGUUGGCGGCGUGGAUGAGGCAUGCAAGUCGCGGGAAUCCCCAGCAAUGGGGGGAACCGGCGUAAGGGGCAGUAAGGCGUAGGUACCUACCCCCAGGUCCGGGAUAGCCCGCCGAGAGGCGGGGUAAUACCGGAUGACCUCGGGAGAGCAAAGCUCCGGCGCCUGAGGCGGGGCCUACGUGAUAUUACCUAGUUGGCGGGGUAACGGCCCACCAAGGGGGAGAUGUCUAGCGGGUGUGAGAGCACGACCCGCGCCACUCGCACUGAGACACUGGCGAGACACCUACGGGUGGCUGCAGUCGAGGAUCUUCGGCAAUGCGCGCAAGCGCGACCGAGCGACGCCGCGUGGGCGACGAAGGCCUUCGGGUUGUAAAGCCCUGUCGAGGGGGAGAAAGCCGCGAGGCGGAUCCAUCCCUGGAGGAAGCUCGGGCUAAGUUCGU
rnacentral:rRNA from 1 species